rnacentral:rRNA from 1 species
UUUAGGAAAAUAAAUCAAACGAGAUUCUAUGAUUAGUGUGAAUGAAAAUAGAAAAGCCUAUUUUAAAGAUAUAUUGUAUUAUAUAUCUUUAUAUUAAAAAAGUAAAACGGGCAUAACCUCCAGUUUGAAUACGUCAAAUAAUUGUCUAAUAAAAUUAUUUGACAAAGGGGAACCUUCCUCUAAGGCUAAAUAUAAUAUAUAAGCGAUAGCGUAUAGUACUGUGAAGGAAAGGUUUGAAUUAGUAGCUUAUAAGCAGCUAAUGCUUUAUUUAAUUAAAAAGUGAUAGCGUACCUUUUGCAUAAUGGGUCAGUAAGUUAAUAUUAGAUGCGAGCAUCAGUGCCCAGAUAAACCAAUUAUGAAUUAAUGAAUUAGUAUCUAAAAUUAGACCCGAAGGCUAGUGAUCUUACCAUAGUCAGGAUUAUAAAAGUCCGAACGGGUUAUCGUUGUAUAGAUAUCCGAGGAACUGUGGUAAGUAAAGUGAAAAGACAACACUGACUAGUAUAGCUGGUUUUCUGCGAAACCUAUAAAAGUAGGUAAUUUAAGUAACAUCAUAGCAGGUACAGAACUGUGUUCUCAGGCAACUUUUAAGAUAGAAAUUUCUAUUUUAUAUUUUGCAUAUAUCGGGCAAUCGUGAAGAUUUUAUCGGUGAGUAAUCGCACUCGGAAUGGUUAUGAUCUUUAUUAAAUAAUCGGACAUAGUACGCUAAGGUUGUGUGUCUAAAGGGAAACAGCCCAGAACAAGAGUAAAGGUUCCCAAAUUAUUGUUAAGUGAAAUUAAGGAUGUUUAGUUAAAAUACGGCCAGGAAAUUGGCUUAGAAGCGGUCCAUUUUUUGAAGAUCUCGUAACAGAGCACUGGUUUAGUAUAUUAUUUACAUUAAUUUGAGCACCGAAGAUUUAACGGAUCUAAACAAUAUACCGACACCCUUGUCCAUAAAAAUAUAAUAUUUAAUGGGGUAGCAGAACGUUGGGUAAACAUUUAUUGUUUUUAAUAAUAAAUAUAUGAUAACCCAAGUGAUAAUGCUGACAUGAGUAACGAAAAAGGGGAUAUACCCUCGCCUAAAGCUUAUGGUAUUUUAAAAUAAGUAACGGCCUCUAAGUUUACCAACCUAAAGGAUUAAACGAUGAGAAAAUCUUUUAGUUCAUUAGUAACAACCUUCCUUCUUAUAAGAAAAGUUGAGGGAGGUUCUGGAAAAACCGUGACCUAUCUUUAAGAUAAAAACCGUACCUAAAUACCACCGACGGUAAGCUAGUAGAGAAUACGAAGGCGUUUGAGUGAACAAUCCUUAAGGAACUCGGCAAACUAACUACCGUAACUUCGGAAUAAGGAGUGCCAUUCCUCUUCAUUAAUAUGAGGUAAAGAAUAGGAAGCAUGGAAUAGUGUUGUACGACUGUUUAAUUAAAACAAAGCACUCCGCAAUAAGAUAAUAAAUCAAAGUAUUGAGUGUGAUUUCUGCCCGAUGUCGGCCGGUUAACGGAUUUUCUAAGUUGACUAAUAUAAGCUUGGUUUUGAUGGAAACCCCGAUCAAUGGCGGCCUUACCUAUGAGGGUCCUAAGGUAGCGGAAUACCUUGGCCGUUAAAUGCGGUCUUGCAUGAAUGAUUUAACGAUACAACAGCUGUCUCAAGGAUUGGCUCAGUGAAAUUGGAAUAACUGUGCAGAUACAGUUUACCUCUAGAUAGACGAGAGUGCGACUAGCAAAGUACUUAAUAACAAUGUGGUGAGAUCCCACCAGAUAACCCAUUAUCUGAGCUCAUACGGUAUGCAAAAGUAAGUGCCUUUGUGUAAAGCCCGUUAAUUAGUAUUUAAUACGUCCUUCCAAAUAUAUUCGGGAAGGUGAGCUAUAUAGCUAAGGAUAAAUUUAAUGAACUCACGUUUGAAGCGUAGUCUAACCUAAAAACCGCGGUUUUUAUGCCAUUGAUUGUAUAAAUAGUUUUUCGUCUAUUUAUUAAUGGGUCUAAUGUCAAUGUGCGUAUAGUGAGAUCCUAAGGCUAUAAUUAAAGUGUUAUUAAGUAAACUAGGUAAGCCCAAUAAUGCCCUUUUAUGUAGGACAAAGAUAAUAGGAAGUUUAAUUGUGAAAUUAAAUAUACAUUAGUGGGUAAAGGAUGUUCUAAAAAGCGAAGGUUAUGUUGUAAUGACGUAAAUAGGCUUUAAGGGGGGGGAAUUUAAGCUAAUCUGAAAAGAUGCAGACUUAGAACAGGUUUUAUGUU